AGUGUGAUGCAGAAUUUGAACUCGGAUCUUUGUGACUCCAGGUCCAGCAUUCUAUCCACUCCACAGUGGCAGAGAAGUGGUUGAUAGAGAGAGACUGAAGAUAUCUUGGUGGAUGCCAGUAUGAUUUUCAGAGAUUGCAUAUUCUUCACUAGGGGAGGAUGUAGGGCAGCACUUAGCUGGCCCAGUGCCUGGCAUCCAGAUCAAGAUAUCAUCCUACGGUGUCAUUGGUCCUCUUCAAAAACAAAGGAUGAACAACAACCUAGGAGAGAAAGGAGAGAGAAGAGAGAGAACUGCAAUGCAAACGAGCAAGGCACAUCCUUGGACAGUGAAGAGACUAGCCUGGCUGUGUUUACGUGGAAAUAACAGAGUAGAAUGGAAAGUACGUCGAAUUUAGAAUCAGAAGGCUUGGGUUUGGACACUU